ensembl:lncRNA
AUCAUUUUAGAUUUGUUUUAGUUUUACAAUAUGAUUGUAAGAACCAUAUAAUACAGUAGGUUUUACACAGGCCUGUUGAGAAGAAUUGUAUUUGCCUAUGAGGUAUAGGAAGGUUUAUCUUUGUGUUCUCUUAUCACUGGAGAAGCACCGUGCUAGAAAGCUGGUACAUAUUGGACAAAUGAAGGAGAAAUAAUAGAACUGUAGGACAUUUUUUUCAAGUUCUGAUAUACUGAUUGUAGAUUUAAGUACAGAAUAUGGCAAGCAAUCAAUUUAAUCCAAGUCAAAAUAUUUGCAUUCAAAAAAGGUGCUUAAACAGCAUUAGCUUAAAUCAUGUUUUCCUGGAUCAACUUCCUAUAUAUUUUUUUAGUUUCUUAAUUUAAAAUAGUCUAUAUCUUUAAGUAUAUAGUUAAAGAUUUAAAUCUCUAAUAGGAUUAGAGGGUAAUUAGAGUGUAAGAUUCAGAGGACAGAUGCAUAAUGUGGUUUCUCUACUCAAAGAAAAAAUAAAGUGAUUCAUUUGCAUUUUCUCUUAAGUUGUUCUCCUACAUCAAUAUGAGGAACAUGAAAUACAAAUACUUACAACAGAAAAAAAAAAAAAAAAGAAAUAUUCAUGUAGUCAACAUUUACUUAUGAUUUUUAUUCUCCUUGAAUAAAAUAUAGUGGUUUUCUAGUGACACUAAUUAACAUGUUAGUAGUACGGUAUUUUAAAUUAGAAAUAUUAUAAACCAUGAAGUAGACACCCAAAAACCAGACCACUUACAGAUCAUGCCUUUAUUUAAAUAAGCUUUAAUAAGCUCUUUUUUUUUUCCUAAAACAAUGAUAACAUUAAAUUUAUUUUAUAACUGAGGUAUAGUAUGUUAGACUGGGAUCUAACUGCUUUGAUGUCAUCAGAAUCUUUACACUGAAGAUUGCCUGGUUCCUUCUGCUGUUGUUGAAAAAUGCAUCCCCCUGGAUGAGCACGGCUUGUAUUUUCUGGGAUGUGGUAAGAUUCAGAAAGUGUUUUUUGUCAGGACUGAAUGUGGUGAUACAAACACAGUAAAUUCCAAUAUCUUUACAAAUUCUUGUCUCAUUUGGGAGAUGCAAGAGCAAUUUAUUUGACCACCCACCCAUCUUAUUUGCCUUCCUCAGGGAAAGAAACAUCAAGUCAUUUCUGCUCUAGGAAAGCUCUGAUGUAUUUUAAUCUGUUAUCUCCAUUACCGACUCCUGCUCAGUGCAGUAUCUGCUCCUAAAAAUGUAGGAGGACCUUGAAACUUCACUCCCCAGGCAUCAAGAAAAUGCUGAAGCAUACAAGAAGGAUACAAGAUUGGGAAGAAGUGAUGAAGAGAUUAAUGACCGGUAGAAUAUUCUAUCUCCUUUGCAGAAAGGAUAUGAUAAGAAAAGAGAAAUGCAGUAACAUGGGGAAGAGCUAUUCUCUCUCAACAUAGUCACAGAGCCUGGGAACUAGAUUCAGAAAACAACCAAGUCCCGGAAGACUGAUUAUUGCAGCAGCAAAGUUCUGGCCUCUUUGAUUCCUAGAAUCUAUUUGCAUGAAUGAGGUGAUUACUUCUUAACAUCAUGCCUAGGAGUAAUGAAGCAUCUAAAAUCUGGAGACAGGAAAGACAGCCUACUAAAGCAGUGAAAUGCCAAUGACAGUCAAAAGGAUAAUGUCAAAAGAGUGUAUUAAUAUAACUGCUUUGUAGACUAUGGUCGCUUAUUCACUAUUUUAAGGAAGUUCUUAUCCCCCCGAUGGAAUUUGCAAGCAUGUACCUGUUCUCUGGUUAAGUUAAGAGUGGAGAUGUGGCAUCAGCUAGUUAUUAUUUUACUGAUUUCUUGUCCCAGGGUGUGAAAACUUGUUCUCUCUGAGGUUUCGACUUCACAUCCACAGGAAAAUAUUAAAUGUGAUAGAAUUUUGUGUAAUAGGGAAUUUUCAGUUUCCCUGAUAUAUUUAAUUCUUUUUUCCUGACAUAAACAAGUACUUAAGCUGUAGAGAAGAAAAGAAUAAGUAUGAAUUAUUCAUUAGUUUGACUUUUAGAGUAGUUACUAAGGAUUUAGGUUCAAAUUCUUAUUUGCAGAAUAAACAUUUAAAUAAAACACUAAGAAGAAUCAGAGGGGUUGGCAACCUAAAUAGCUGCUGAUCUUCAUAAGCUAUAUGUUAGUGUAUUCUAUGCUUAUUUUGGUUUGCUAUAUGUUAAAAAAAAAUACUGGAUACUAACAUAUUUGCUUGAAAUAGACACCUAGGGCCAAUAUCUUUUGCAUCCUUUGUUGUUGCCAUAAGCUGAGCAGUGAUUAUAAAACAUGUUAAGAAGAAUGUAUUCCAUCUACUAUUUGGUUAUACUAGGAAAAGUGACUAAAUUAAAGUUGGCAAACAAUGCUAGGAAACAAGCCAUUAAUGAGCCAUACGUAGACACACAGAAAAACAAACCUCCUCUGCAUAUGAGUGAUUAAAUCACCCAGUGAAAAUUGUAUUAAUGAGCUAAAAAACAACACUCUAUUAAGGAAACAAUAGAAUCAUAGAAUCGUAGAGUAAUAGAAUCAUGGAAUGGCCUGGGUUGAACAGGACCACAAUGAUCACCUAGUUUCAACCUCCCUGCUAUGUGCAGGGUUGCCAACCACUAGAUCAGGCUGCCCAGAGCCACAUCCAGCCUGGCCUUGAAUGCCUCCAGGAACAGAGAAUCCACAACCCCCUUGGGCAACCUGUUCCAGUGUGUUACCACCCUCUGAGUGAAAAACUUCCUCCUAAUACACAACCCAAAUCUCCCCUGUCUCAGUUUAAGACCAUUCCCCCUUGUCCUAUCACUAUCCAUCUUCAUAAACAGCUGUUCCCCCUACUGUUUAUACUCUCCCUUCAAGUACUGGAAGGCCACAGUGAGGUCUCCCCAGAGCCUUCUCUUCUCCAAGCUAAACAAGCCCAGUUCCCUCAACCUUUCUUCCUAGGAGAAAUACUCC